GAUCUCCUACGGGAGGCAGCAGUGGGGAAUAUUGCACAAUGGGGGGAACCCUGAUGCAGCAAUGCCGCGUGAAGGAUGAAGGUUUUCGGAUUGUAAACUUCUUUUGUACGGGACGAAGAAAGUGACGGUACCGUAAGAAUAAGCCACGGCUAACUACGUGCCAGCAGCCGCGGUAAUACGUAGGUGGCAAGCGUUAUCCGGAUUCACUGGGCGUAAAGGGAGCGCAGGCGGCACGGCAAGUCCGGUGUGAAAGCCCGGGGCCCAACCCCGGGACUGCACUGGAAACUGCCGGGCUGGAGUGUCGG
rnacentral:rRNA from 1 species